GCAAUUUCGAUUUUCUUGGAGCCAAUAUUCAAAGUUUUAUAUGUAAUAAUUUUUCUCUCGGCUUCCUCCAUUAUUUCUUUGGGUGGAUUAACCCGCAAACAGUCUCCUUCCUUCUUCAAAUACUUAAAAUGUCUCUUCAAGUUUUCCAUUUUAACGUUAACUUCUCUCAUCCCCAUGUCGCUGGAUGGCCGGCCGCUGGCAACAGCAGCUGCGUCGCUGGUAGUCAUUUGAAACAACUACAGCAAUGACUUCCAACAACAAAAUAAUUCAAAUGAAACAGGAACAAAAAUAACAGCCACAAUUCUUCAACAAUUUCAAACAACGAUAUUUCUUAACAAACUACUCACGCUCUCCUUCAAAACACGACUCGCCGAUAUCAUAUUUUUUAUUACGUGCUUCAACUGUCCAACCGAUCGCAUUUCUGUAUUUGUUGUAGGAAAUUAGUAAUAAUGGUACACCCCAUCCACGGGACAAAUGAAAUAACCUAGUCAUUAUAAAUGAAGAGAGUUGGUGUUCGAAUUUUACGAAAAAUCGUAAAUGUAUGGAAAAUUUGUUGCUAGGUUUGCUCGAGUUGCAAAAACAGCAACAGCAACAGCAACAACAACAGCGGAAUUUCUUCUAAGUUCAAAUUCUGCUGAGGCUAUUUUGCUUUUGAUCGGUUCGGAAUCGAUAAGACAAGUACUAGUUGAGCACUGAGGUUGACAUAAUCGACUUCCUUUUUCCCUCAACAAUUUGCUGGCCUCGUACCGAAAUUAGAAAUAAUUAUUCUGCUUACCGCUAAAACCCUGUAAAUCGCCAAUAUUUCAUAUUAUCGAUUGCUGAUUCGAUUACAUUCCUUGCUACCUAACUUAUGACGUUAAGAAUGGCAUGAAUGUCAUGCAAUCUCAUACACUUCUCCAUUAUAAAUACCAUCAUGACUUUCCCUGUAUUAUAAUUAAAAUUCUCGAAGUUACUCAGUUAAACAUGAAUGACAAAUUACGUUGUAUUUCUAAGUUCUGAUGGCUUCCAGUAUAAAAUACCGCAGCUUUCGAUUCUGUCUUUCGUUCUCCGACUUCAUUCUCUCUCUAAAACUGUGUGGACUCCUUCUACUUGUGUUAAAAUCCAACAUUAGAAACAUCAUUAUUCAACAUUUGUUCUAAUUUCUCUUACAGUCAUCGAUGUAAUUAAUCACAUCAGACAAAUUUCUGGGCGUUCUUGUGUGGCGCAGCCUGUAAAAUUGUCUUGGGCAAAGGAAACGGAAACUAACUGGAACAAAAUCGCGAUAAAUUCUGUUAAUCGUAAUGUCUAACAUAAGGUGAAAAGAAACUGCAUCACACACACACAGAUUGUGAUUUUACAUUUCCUUGUGUUUUAAAUGAAAAUAAAUUGUUUGUUACUA